rnacentral:rRNA from 1 species
UACGUAGGGUGCAAGCGUUGUCCGGAAUUAUUGGGCGUAAAGAGCUCGUAGGCGGUCUGUCGCGUCGGCUGUGAAAACCCGGGGCUCAACCCCGGGCCUGCAGUCGAUACGGGCAGACUAGAAUUCGGUAGGGGAGACUGGAAUUCCUGGUGUAGCGGUGAAAUGCGCAGAUAUCAGGAGGAACACCGGUGGCGAAGGCGGGUCUCUGGGCCGAUAUUGACGCUGAGGAGCGAAAGCGUGGGGAGCAAACAGG